AUACAUAUACAAAUAGAUACAUAAAGUGCUGCCACAGUCCUGUUACAGUCAUUCCCCGGCUCCAAUGACGGUGCAGAGACACGGAUGCGGAAGACCCAGAAACGCUGACCAAUCAGACCAGACUGGGCUUCUUUCAAGAGGGGCGCUUGAAAAGACAGCUGCUAAAACAGAGCUUUAAAAUAGAGGGUGAAUACAAGUGUAUUCAGACAGACAG